CCUACGGGUGGCAGCAGUGAGGAAUAUUGGUCAAUGGACGCAAGUCUGAACCAGCCAUGCCGCGUGCAGGAAGACGGUGCUAAGCGUUGUAAACUGCUUUUGUACAAGGGCAAAAGCAGAUACGAGUACCUGUCCGAAGGUACCGUACGAAUAAGCAUCGGCUAACUCCGUGCCAGCAGCCGCGGUAAUACGGAGGAUGCGAGCGUUAUCCGGAUUUAUUGGGUUUAAAGGGUGCGUAGGCGGGUUUUUAAGUCAGCGGUAAAAGGUCGGGGCUCAACCCGGGCCGGCCGUUGAAACUGGGGAUCUUGAGUGGGCGAGAGGUAUGCGGAAUGCGUGGUGUAGCGGUGAAAUGCAUAGAUAUCGCGCAGAACUCCGAUUGCGAAGGCAGCAUACCGGCGCCGGACUGACGCUGAGGCACGAAAGCGUGGGGAUCGAACAGGAUUAGAUACCCGGGUAGUC
rnacentral:rRNA from 1 species